rnacentral:rRNA from 1 species
AGUCUCAGUUCGGAUCGGAGUCUGCAACCCGACUCCGUGAAGCUGGAUUCGCUAGUAAUCGCGCAUCAGCCAUGGCGCGGUGAAUACGUUCCCGGGCCUUGUACACACCGCCCGUCACACCAUGGGAGUUUGUAACGCCCAAAGUCGGUGGCCUAACCUUUAUGGAGGGAGCCGCCUAAGGCGGGACAGAUGACUGGGGUGAAGUCGUAACAAGGUAUC